rnacentral:rRNA from 1 species
UACGUAGGUGGCAAGCGUUGUCCGGAUUUAUUGGGUUUAAAGGGUGCGUAGGCGGCCCUGUAAGUCAGUGCUGAAAUAUCUCGGCUUAACCGGGAGGGUGGCAUUGAUACUGCGGGGCUAGAGUACAGAUGAGGUAGGCGGAAUUGACGGUGUAGCGGUGAAAUGCUAGAUAUCGUCAAGAACACCUAUAGCGAAGGCAGCUUACUGGGCUGUAACUGACGCUGAGGCACGAAAGUGUGGGGAUCAAACAGG